CACGUAGGGGACGAGCGUUGUCCGGAUUCAUUGGGCGUAAAGCGCGCGUAGGCGGCUCGGCAAGUCGGUCGUGAAAUGCCGGGGCUCAACCCCGGGACUGCGUCCGAUACUCCCGAGCUGGAGGCAGGUAGGGGAGAUCGGAAUUCCGGGUGUAGCGGUGGAAUGCGUAGAGAUCCGGAAGAACACCGGUGGCGAAGGCGGCCUGCUGGGGAGUUUAGCUGACACUGAGGCGCGACAGCGUGGGGAGCAAACAGG
rnacentral:rRNA from 1 species